rnacentral:lncRNA from 1 species
GUUUUAAUUAUUAUGCCCCACCUACGAUAGUAGAGGGGCAUUAUGUUUUCUGGUCUGUGCGUCCGUUCGUCCGUCCGUCCGUUCGUUCGUCCGUCUGUCCCGCUUCAGGUUAAAGUUUUUGGUCAAGGUAGUUUUUGAUGAAGUUGAAGUCCAAUCGACUUCAAACUUAGUAUACAUGUUCCCUAUGAUAUGAUCUUUUUAAUUUUAAUGCCAAAUUAGAGGGUUUACCCCAAUUUCACGGUCCACUGAACAUAGAAAAUGAUAGUGCGAGUGGGGCAUUCGUGUACUGGGGACAC